AUCAAUUAUAAAUCAAUAAAAAAAUUUCAAGAAAAACUUCUCAAAUCAACACGAUGAUUAAUUUAAAAUAGAUGACAUCACAUUGACAAAUGAGUUCAUUGAGAAGAUGGUAGUUCUGUUCCAUAACUGAUCAUUUCUAAUUUCCUGAGGCAGUGAACAUGAAAUGUAAGUUUAACUCUUAAACUAAACAUAAUAUUCAAAAGAAGAAAUAAAAGUAAAUUAGGAAAAGUCAGGGUUAAAUCUUCACACAUGUAUCACAUCUAUUUCACAACAGACUUUCAUCAUAUUUCAAUAUCUCAGUCAUGACCCCAUCUAUGCCAGUGCUUUUACUACAUUUUAUUAUACCACUUUUACUCAUAAUCUCUUCUAUUGCUAUUUGUUCUCUAUUCACAUUCAUCUAUCACAUUCACUCUCUUCUCAUCUCUUUUACCUUCAUCCUUUUAUUCAGUAGGUACAAAGCUUUACCAAAUAGAAUCAAGCCCAUAAGCCCAAGCUCCAUUAAUGCAGGAUAAUACUCCAAUGUCCUCCAUGCAAAAAUUGCUUACAAUAAUUUAAAUAUGUUAUUAAGUAGUAGAAAACACAAUCAAAUAAUAAGAAGCAAAAAGUUCUGCUUAUUCCGGU
rnacentral:lncRNA from 1 species